rnacentral:rRNA from 1 species
UACGUAGGGUGCAAGCGUUGUCCGGAAUUAUUGGGCGUAAAGAGCGUGUAGGCGGUCCGGUAAGUCAGCUGUGAAAGUCAAGGGCUCAACCCUUGAAAGCCGGUUGAUACUGUCGGGCUAGAGUCCGGAAGAGGCGAGUGGAAUUCCCGGUGUAGCGGUGAAAUGCGCAGAUAUCGGGAGGAACACCAAUGGCGAAGGCAGCUCGCUGGGACGGUACUGACGCUGAGGCGCGAAAGCGUGGG